rnacentral:rRNA from 1 species
CAGCCGCCGCGGGAAUACGGAGGGUGCAAGCGUUAUCCGGAUUUAUUGGGUUUAAAGGGUCCGUAGGCGGAUCUGUAAGUCAGUGGUGAAAUCUCACAGCUUAACUGUGAAACUGCCAUUGAUACUGCAGGUCUUGAGUAAAUUUGAAGUGGCUGGAAUAAGUAGUGUAGCGGUGAAAUGCAUAGAUAUUACUUAGAACACCAAUUGCGAAGGCAGGUCACUAAGAUUUAACUGACGCUGAUGGACGAAAGCGUGGGGAGCGAACAGGAUUAGAUACCCCAGUAGUCCCUGUCUCUUAUAA